CCUACGGGUGGGCAGCAGUGGGGAAUAUUGGACAAUGGGGGCAACCCUGAUCCAGCCAUGCCGCGUGUGUGAAGAAGGCCCUCGGGUUGUAAAGCACUUUCAGUGAGGAAGAACGCCUGGUGGUUAAUACCCAUCAGGAAAGACAUCACUCACAGAAGAAGCACCGGCUAACUCCGUGCCAGCAGCCGCGGUAAUACGGAGGGUGCGAGCGUUAAUCGGAAUUACUGGGCGUAAAGCGCGCGUAGGUGGCUUGAUAAGCCGGUUGUGAAAGCCCCGGGCUCAACCUGGGAACGGCAUCCGGAACUGUCAAGCUAGAGUGCAGGAGAGGAAGGUAGAAUUCCCGGUGUAGCGGUGAAAUGCGUAGAGAUCGGGAGGAAUACCAGUGGCGAAGGCGGCCUUCUGGACUGACACUGACACUGAGGUGCGAAAGCGUGGGUAGCAAACAGGAUUAGAUACCCGAGUAGUC
rnacentral:rRNA from 1 species